rnacentral:rRNA from 1 species
GACAGAGGGGGCAAGCGUUGCUCGGAAUUACUGGGCGUAAAGGGCGCGUAGGCGGGAUGGCAAGUCGGUCGUGAAAGCCUUCGGCUCAACCGAAGAACGUCGGCCGAUACUGCCGUUCUUGAGGGAUGCAGAGGAGACUGGAAUUCCCGGUGUAGCGGUGAAAUGUGUAGAUAUCGAGAGGAACACCUGCGGCGAAGGCGGGUUGCUGGGCUGACACUGACGCUGAGGCGCGAAAGCCAGGGGAGCGAACGGG